CCCCUGCAGUCGAGCGGAUGAAAGGAGCUUGCUCCUGGAUUCGCGGCGGACGGGUGAGUAAUGCCUAGGAAUCUGCCUGGUAGUGGGGGACAACGUUUCGAAAGGAACGCUAAUACCGCAUACGUCCUACGGGAGAAAGCAGGGGACCUUCGGGCCUUGCGCUAUCAGAUGAGCCUAGGUCGGAUUAGCUAGUUGGUGAGGUAAUGGCUCACCAAGGCGACGAUCCGUAACUGGUCUGAGAGGAUGAUCAGUCACACUGGAACUGAGACACGGUCCAGACUCCUACGGGAGGCAGCAGUGGGGAAUAUUGGACAAUGGGCGAAAGCCUGAU
rnacentral:rRNA from 1 species